CUAAUGGUUCAUCUGAGCGAGGAGCUCCUCCAAGUCCGGACGCUUCUUGAAACGUGCUUGGAAAUCCGCCUCUGUGUGCUGAGAGGAGGAGGAGGAGGAGGAGGAGGAGGAGGAGGAGGAGGAGGAGCAUCACACAAGUGGAGAUCCAACGACCGCCUACGCUUCGCCUCAGCUGACCCUGACAACUGCUGGUCAAACACCUGUGUCUACUCAUAAAAUUAUAUUAACACUACUUUCAGAAAAUCGGAAAUUCCCACUGGAAGCUAAUACACCAUGAACAAUCAUUUGAGUGUCCACAUACAUUUGGCCAAUUAAUAAUGUAUACCACUGAAGUGAAACUACUGCUUGUUUUCCUGGUCUGGGAAAAAUAAGCUGACUUACCUCCAUAAUGGAAAGCUGGAUUCCCUCCGGCUGAUUCUUCAGAAGAACUUCCAUGAAAACUGGACACAACAGGGCGUUCAGACUGCUGAGCUGGAAGAGACAUGAAUAAGAACGAUCAGGAAGGCAAAACUUCUCAGGACGCUAACAACAGAGCAUUCAGUAACGGAGCCGAGAGGAGCUUCACCUGGAUGACUCGCUCGUGAGUCUUUAGGAUGGCGUCCACGUACAGCUUGGCACCUUGUUCUUGUUCUAGCAAGACCUCCGUGCUCUUAGUCGGCAAAGCAUAGCUGCAUGUGAAAAACAGAAAUAAUAAUUAAAAAAAAAAAAAAGAUAUUUGGUUUUCAUGAAAAGAAUCUAUUCUGCUGUAAUGCAAAGACAACACGAACACAAAGAAGGUUUGUGAUUCACGUUUAUAUGGAAGUUUUGUUUUUUAAAUCAGGUGAUAAAAUGUAUCACCAGACCCACGGCUGUGUUCUUAAUAAAUCAAUUAAUACAUACA